UACGUAGGGUGCAAGCGUUAAUCGGAAUUACUGGGCGUAAAGCGUGCGCAGGCGGUUUUGUAAGUCUGUCGUGAAAUCCCCGGGCUUAACCUGGGAAUGGCAUUUGGGACUGCAAGGCUGGAGUGUGGCAGAGGAGACUGGAAUUCCUGGUGUAGCAGUGAAAUGCGUAGAUAUCAGGAGGAAUACCGAUGGCGAAGGCAGGUCUCUGGGCUGACACUGACGCUCAUGCACGAAAGCGUGGGGAGCAAACAGG
rnacentral:rRNA from 1 species